AUACGGAGGGUGCAAGCGUUGUUCGGAAUCACUGGGCGUAAAGGGCGCGCAGGCGGUUUGGUAAGUCAGAUGUGAAAGCCCACGGCUCAACCGUGGAAGUGCAUUUGAAACUGUCAGACUUGAGUACUAGAGGGGAAAGUGGAAUUCCCGGUGUAGAGGUGAAAUUCGUAGAUAUCGGGAGGAAUACCGGUGGCGAAGGCGACUUUCUGGCUAGAUACUGACGCUGAGGCGCGAAAGCGUGGGGAGCAAACAGGAUUAGAAACCCUUGUAGUCC
rnacentral:rRNA from 1 species